rnacentral:rRNA from 1 species
UACAGAGGCCCCAAGCGUUACUGAGAAUCACUGGGCGUAAAGGGUGCGUAGGUGGCCGGGUAAGUCUGACGUGAAAUCUCCAAGCUCAACUUGGAAACUGCGUCGGAUACUAUCCGGCUAGAGGAUCGGAGGGGAGACUGGAAUACUUGGUGUAGCAGUGAAAUGCGUAGAUAUCAAGUGGAACACCAGUGGCGAAGGCGAGUCUCUGGACGAUUCCUGACACUGAGGCACGAAAGCCAGGGGAGCAAACGGG